CCUACGGGAGGCAGCAGUGGGGAAUAUUGGGCAAUGGGCGCAAGCCUGACCCAGCAACGCCGCGUGAAGGAAGAAGGCUUUCGGGUUGUAAACUUCUUUUCUCAGGGACGAAGCAAGUGACGGUACCUGAGGAAUAAGCCACGGCUAACUACGUGCCAGCAACCGCGGGAAUACGUAGGUGGCAAGCGUUAUCCGGAUUUACUGGGUGUAAAGGGCGUGUAGGCGGGAAAGCAAGUCAGAUGUGAAAACCAUGGGCUCAACCUGUGGCCUGCAUUUGAGACUGUUUUUCUUGAGUACUGGAGAGGCAGACGGAAUUCCUAGUGUAGCGGUGAAAUGCGUAGAUAUUAGGAGGAACACCAGUGGCGAAGGCGGUCUGCUGGACAGCAACUGACGCUGAGGCGCGAAAGCGUGGGGAGCAAACAGGAUUAGAUACCCGUGUAGUC
rnacentral:rRNA from 1 species